rnacentral:misc_RNA from 1 species
GCUUAACCGGCUGCCGCGACCUCGCCCGCAGCGAGGGGCAAAAGAAACAGAGACUGCCGCAAGCAGGCCAUACUCUUCUUGACACCACCCCCAUUUUUUCCACUCCUAUUAUCCCCCUCCUACCCUUUAUUCCGUCUAAUAUAUUGGAGAUUCAAGGCACCAAAAUUUAAAUCAAAAAAAGGAAGAAUUCACAAGAUGGUAUUCUCA